UUUAACGUCCAUACCACGUUGAAUACACCGGUUCUCGUCCGGUUCGAAGUUAAGCAAACGUCGGGCGCGGUCAGUACUUAGAUGGGUGACCGCCUGUGAACACCGCUUGACGUUGGCU
rnacentral:rRNA from 1 species